rnacentral:lncRNA from 1 species
GUGCAUGACAUGAGGGCAGUUUCACUGACAGUUUAUGCAGGCAGGGGGAGGUAAGCUCAUAUAACCUUGUUCCUUACGGAGGUGUAGAAAAUCUGUAGCAUGAUGUAAUGUGUUUUAUUAAAUAUGCAAAUAUUAACCUACUCAAUCCUCAUAAAAACUCAGUGGUGAACUGACUGUUGGCCUGGCAGAUGAGAAGUUUUACUCCCCCACUCUCCAGUGAAACUGGUGAAAAGUAUUUUUAAAGGAAUUAAGAAUGGGUCAAUGAAAUAUACAGCUCCUUUCUGGAAUGUACCUGUUCUGCUACAACCAUGGAUAUCCUGACCUUUCUGUGCCUUUCAGGGACAAGGGUAAUAGAGGAGUUUCAGACUCCCUCUAAAACAAAACAACAACUGAACAAUAAACAACAGAAAAAGAACACAAAAAAAGACGGUGGUACUCUUUCCCCUUUCCUUGCUUUCUCCUGCUACCAAAACAAACAACAAAAACUACAUUGUCUCAUUGGAUGACGAAGCUAAAAUUUUGUAGCAAAUCUAUAGAAGAAAAGAAGUGGAAAUCUACUCAAGAGCUACUGUAAAACACUGUAUACAAAACAACCACUUUGAUUCACAUUAAAAAGUGUUAUCUGUUUCUUUGAAUUCAUAAGCUAGAUAUUAAUCCAUCUUUAGAAGAGAAGAAAGCAAAGAUCGUAGAUGACAAGUCUUGCUUUCUUGUAAGUAUCUUUGAAUCUGUAUGUUUGCCAUCACAAGUUCUCAGAUCAAUUAACUAUUGUUUACUUCCAAAAAAAAUCUGGCAUGGCUUAUGAAGAUGUAUAUAUAUAACAACAUCAGUAUGAAUGGGAUAAUACAACAAGACCAAGGGAAACUAAA